GACUUGGUAGCUCAGCUGGAUAGAGCAUCCGCCUUCUAAGCGGACGGUCGUGAGUUCGAAUCUCACCCAAGUCA
rnacentral:tRNA from 4 species